UACGUAGGGUGCGAGCGUUGUUCGGAAUUACUGGGCGUAAAGCGCACGUAGGCGGAUUUGUAAGUCAGGGGUGAAAUCCCGGGGCUCAACCUCGGAACUGCCUUUGAUACUGCAAAUCUCGAGUCCGAUAGAGGUGGGUGGAAUUCCUAGUGUAGAGGUGAAAUUCGUAGAUAUUAGGAAGAACACCGGUGGCGAAGGCGGCCCACUGGAUCGGUACUGACGCUGAGGUGCGAAAGCGUGGGGAGCAAACAGG
rnacentral:rRNA from 1 species